AGAACGAACGCUGGCGGCAUGCCUAACACAUGCAAGUCGAACGAGACCUUCGGGUCUAGUGGCGCACGGGUGCGUAACGCGUGGGAAUCUGCCCUUCGGUUCGGAAUAACUCAGGGAAACUUGAGCUAAUACCGGAUAAUGACUUCGGUCCAAAGAUUCAUCGCCGAGGGAUGAGCCCGCGUAGGAUUAGCUUGUUGGUGAGGUAAAGGCUCACCAAGGCGACGAUCCUUAGCUGGUCUGAGAGGAUGAUCAGCCACACUGGGACUGAGACACGGCCCAGACUCCUACGGGAGGCAGCAGUGGGAAUAUGGACAAUGGGCGAAAGCCUGAUCCAGCAAUGCCGCGUGAGUGAUGGAAGGCCCUAGGUUAGUAAAGCUCUUUUACCCGGGAUGAUAAUAGACUGUACCGGAGAAUAACGCCCCGGACUAACCGUCCCGUGCC
rnacentral:rRNA from 1 species